UACGUAGGGACCGAGCGUUGUCCGGAUUCAUUGGGCGUAAAGAGCUCGUAGGCGGCUGCUCAAGUCGAAUGUGAAAACUCGAGGCUCAACCUCGAGCCUGCAUUCGAUACUGGGCGGCUAGAGUCUGGUAGGGGGAUCUGGAAUUCCUGGUGGAGCGGUGAAAUGCGCAGAUAUCAGGAGGAACACCCGUAGCGAAGGCGGCACUCUGGGCCGGAACUGACGCUGAGGAGCGAAAGCGUGGGGAGCGAACAGG
rnacentral:rRNA from 1 species